UCUGAGGUAAAGUUAAUUCUUAAAUGAGACAUAACUGAGAACUCCAUUUAGUCUCUUGAGCAAUAAAAGAGCAGCCUCUGUGCAAUAUGUUUUUAUUUCUCCAAAGGAAUUUUAGCAGAAAUAUCUCAGAUUAAGUUGAUACCUAAAUGAGACAUAACUGAGAACUCCAUUAAUUCUCUUGAGCAUUAAAAGAGCAAACUUUGAGCUAUAAUAUUUGUAUUUCUCCAAAGGAAUUUUAGCAGAAAUAUCUGAGAUAAAGUUGAUUCUUAAAUGAGACAAAACUGAGAACUCCAUUAAGUUUUUUGAGCAAUAAAAGAGCAACCUCUGAGCAAUAUAUUUUAUUUAUCUGAAGGAAUUUUAGCAGAAAUAUCAGAGACAAAGUUGAUAUAUAAAUGAGACAUAGUUGAGAGCUCCAUUAAGUGUCUUAAGCAAUAAAAGAGCAACCUCUGAGCAAUAACAUUUGUAUUCCUCCAAAAGAAUUUUAGCAGAAAUAUCUGAGGUAAAGUUAAUUCUUAAAUGAGACAUAACUGAGAACUCCAUUUAGUCUCUUGAGCUAUAAAAGAGCAGCCUCUGUGCAAUAUGUUUUUAUUUCUCCAAAGGAAUUUUAGCAGAAAUAUCUCAGAUUAAGUUGAUACCUAAAUGAGACAUAACUGAGAACUCCAUUAAUUCUCUUGAGCAUUAAAAGAGCAAACUUUGAGCUAUAAUAUUUGUAUUUCUCCAAAGGAAUUUUAGCAGAAAUAUCUGAGAUAAAGUUGAUACUUAAAUGAGACAAAACUGAGAACACCAUUAAGUCCCCUGAGCUAUUAAAGAGCAACCUUUGAGCAAUAGUAUUUUUAAUUCUCUGAAGGAAUUUUAGCAGAAAUAUCUGAGGUAAAGUUAAUUCUUAAAUGAGACAUAACUGAGAACUCCAUUUAGUCUCUUGAGCAAUAAAAGAGCAGCCUCUGUGCAAUAUGUUUUUAUUUCUCCAAAGGAAUUUUAGCAGAAAUAUCUCAGAUUAAGUUGAUACCUAAAUGAGACAUAACUGAGAACUCCAUUAAUUCUCUUGAGCAUUAAAAGAGCAAACUUUGAGCUAUAAUAUUUGUAUUUCUCCAAAGGAAUUUUAGCAGAAAUAUCUGAGAUAAAGUUGAUUCUUAAAUGAGACAAAACUGAGAACUCCAUUAAGUUUUUUGAGCAAUAAAAGAGCAACCUCUGAGCAAUAUAUUUUAUUUAUCUGAAGGAAUUUUAGCAGAAAUAUCAGAGACAAAGUUGAUAUAUAAAUGAGACAUAGUUGAGAGCUCCAUUAAGUGUCUUAAGCAAUAAAAGAGCAACCUCUGAGCAAUAACAUUUGUAUUCCUCCAAAAGAAUUUUAGCAGAAAUAUCUGAGGUAAAGUUAAUUCUUAAAUGAGACAUAACUGAGAACUCCAUUUAGUCUCUUGAGCUAUAAAAGAGCAGCCUCUGUGCAAUAUGUUUUUAUUUCUCCAAAGGAAUUUUAGCAGAAAUAUCUCAGAUUAAGUUGAUACCUAAAUGAGACAUAACUGAGAACUCCAUUAAUUCUCUUGAGCAUUAAAAGAGCAAACUUUGAGCUAUAAUAUUUGUAUUUCUCCAAAGGAAUUUUAGCAGAAAUAUCUGAGAUAAAGUUGAUACUUAAAUGAGACAAAACUGAGAACACCAUUAAGUCCCCUGAGCUAUUAAAGAGCAACCUUUGAGCAAUAGUAUUUUUAAUUCUCUGAAGGAAUUUUAGCAGAAAUAUCUGAGGUAAAGUUAAUUCUUAAAUGAGACAUAACUGAGAACUCCAUUUAGUCUCUUGAGCAAUAAAAGAGCAGCCUCUGUGCAAUAUGUUUUUAUUUCUCCAAAGGAAUUUUAGCAGAAAUAUCUCAGAUAAAGUUGAUUCUUAAAUGAGACAAAACUGAGAACUCCAUUAAGUUUUUUGAGCAAUAAAAGAGCAACCUCUGAGCAAUAUAUUUUAUUUAUCUGAAGGAAUUUUAGCAGAAAUAUCAGAGACAAAGUUGAUAUAUAAAUGAGACAUAGUUGAGAGCUCCAUUAAGUGUCUUAAGCAAUAAAAGAGCAACCUCUGAGCAAUAACAUUUGUAUUCCUCCAAAAGAAUUUUAGCAGAAAUAUCUGAGACAAAGUUGAGACAUAAAUGAGACAAAACUUAGAAUUGCAUUAAGUCUCUUGAGCUAUAAAAGAGCAACCUUUGAGCUAUAAUAUUUGUAUUUCUCUGAAGGAAUUGUAGCAGAAAUAUCUAAGAAAAGUUGAUACAUAAAUGAGACAGAACUAAGAUCUCAUUUAAGUCCCUGGAGCUACAGCAUGAAAGAGCAACCUUUGAGCAGUAAUAUUUGUAUUUAUUCUAGUGAAUUUUGGAGAAAUGUUUGAGACAAGGUUGAUACAUUUAGACCUCCAUUAAAGCUCUUGAGGUCUGAGAGAGCCUUUGAGCACUAAACAUGUCCUCUGGGAAGUUCCAGCCCUACUACUGUCUCUCACAACUUGUAGUGAAUGUGAUUUUCAGAGAGACUGAAAGCAGACUGUUGUAUGAACAGCUGCACAGACCACACACAAUGCCAGCCGGGUGCAAUGUCAGUGGGUUAAUUUAUAUUUGUACUGUUUACUGUGUGCGGUCUUAUCAAUGGGUUUAUCACUGAAUUUGUUAGAGGGUUUUUUUGCUCAGUUUGACCCCCUGCAGGUUAAAGAUAUUGUGUUAUGUCACUGGCUGCCAGCACCUGCCAAAUUAUUUUCAUUUUUCAUUCUGCUACACAGUAGAUAAUGCAUCAAACAUUUUGAAAGUCUUGUGCAGUUGUUGAUUUUAUUUAAUGCUAUUUUAUUUGAAUUAUUUUUAAUUGCAAGGUUAUGAUUAAAGAAAUGUUAUUGGGAGAAAAUACUUGAAAAAAUAAUUCACGGUACUUUAUAUUGUUUCAUUCACCUUUGUUUAAUCACACAUUUUGUUCACAAGUCAUGUCAAGCCAGUUUGAGCAUCAAUGUUAAAAGUGGAAAAAAUUAAAAAUGAACAGAUCUUGCAUUCAUUUUGAGUUUAAUUGUUCAUGUGCACUAAAUGCAGUGCAAAGCAAUAAAUUACACGACUGAUAUUGUAUUCAAGUAUAA